ACGAACGCUGGCGGCGUGCUUAACACAUGCAAGUCGAACGGAAAGGCCCUGCUUGCAGGGUGCUCGAGUGGCGAACGGGUGAGUAACACGUGGGUGAUCUGCCCCUUACUUUGGGAUAAGCCUGGGAAACUGGGUCUAAUACUGGAUAGGACCAUGCUGUAGGUGGUGUGGUGGAAAGAUUUUUUCGGUAAGGGAUGAGCUCGCGGCCUAUCAGCUUGUUGGUGGGGUAAUGGCCUACCAAGGCGUCGACGGGUAGCCGGCCUGAGAGGGUGGACGGCCACAUUGGGACUGAGAUACGGCCCAGACUCCUACGGGAGGCAGCAGUGGGGAAGAUUGCACAAUGGGCGCAAGCCUGAUGCAGCGACGCCGCGUGGGGGAUGACGGCCUUCGGGUUGUAAACUCCUUUCAGCCAUGACGAAGCCUCUUUUGGGGUGACGGUAGUGGUAGAAGAAGCACCGGCUAACUACGU
rnacentral:rRNA from 1 species